GGUUUGAUCCUGGCCUGGAUUGAACGCUGCAAGUGGAUGCUUUCAUACAUGCAAGUCGAACGGCAGCACGGGACUUCGGUCUGGGCGGUGGCGAAUGGUGAGUAAUGGGACGAACGUGCCUAGUAGCGGGGGAUAACUACAGCAGUGCCGUAGCUACUACUGCACGCCCUUCGUGAAAGUGGACCUUCGGGCCUCGCAAUCAUUAGAGCGGCCGAUAUCGGAUUAGAAGAAGUUGGUGGGGUAACGGCUCACCGGGGCGACGAUCCGUAGCUGGUUUGAGAGGACACCAGCCACCGGGACUGAGACACGGCCCGAGACUCCUACGGGAGGCAGCAGUGGGGAAUUUUGACAAAUGGGGAAACCCUGAUCCAGGCCAUCCCGCGUGUGCGAUGAAGGCCGGGUUGUAAAGCACUUUUGGCAGGAAAGAAACGGCACGGGAUAAUACCCCGUGCAACUGACGUACCUUGUGGUAUUAAGCACCGGCUAACUACGCCAGCAGCCGCGGUAAUACGUAGGGUGCAAGCGCACCGGACAACAUUGGGUAAAGCGUGCGCAGGCGGUUCGGAAAGAAAGAUGUGAAAUCCCAGAGCUUAACUUUGCUUUGAACUGCAUUUUUAACUACCGAGCUAGAGCUGCACGAGGAGGUGGAAUUCCGCGUAGGUGAAAUGCGUAGAUAUGCGGAGGAACACCGAUGGCGAAGGCAGCCUCCGGGAUAACACUGACGCUCAUGCACGAAAGCGUGGGGAGCAAACGGUGAUUAGAGCAUCCUGCAGUCUCACAAACUAAACGAUGUCAAAUCAGCUGUUGGGGUUCUCGGGCCUUGGUGGCGCAGCUAACGCGGUGAAGUUUAACGCCUGGGGAGUACGGUCGCAAGACUAAAACUCAAAAGAAUUGAUUGGGACCCGCACAAGCGGUGGAUGAUGUGGAUUAAUUCGAUGCAACGCGAAAAACCUUACCUACCCUUUACAUGUCUGGAAUCCCGAAGAGAUUUGGAGUGCUUCGCAAGAGAACCGGAACACAGGUGCUGCAUGGCCGUCGUCAGCUCGUGUCGUGAGAUGUUAAGUCCCGCAACGAGCGCAAACCGUCAUUAGUUGCUACAGUGCACUCGCGACGAAUUGCCGGUGACAAACCGGAGGAAGGUGGGGAUGACGUCGUUUCUCAUGGCCCCGGUAUGGUACUACACGUCAUACAAUGGUCGGGAUGGGCUCAACCCGCGAGGGGGAGCCAAUCCCCAGAAACCUGAUCGUAGUCCGAUCGCAGUCUGCAACUGACCAGUGUGGAGUCGGAAUCGCUAGUAAUCGCGGAUCAGCAUGUCGCGGUGAAUACGUUCCCGGUCUCUGUACACACCGCCCGCUCACACCAUGGGAGUGGGUUUUACCAGAAGUAGUUAGCCUAACCGUAAGGAGGGCGAUUACCACAGUAGGAUCCAUGAUCAGUAGAAGUCAACAAGGCAA
rnacentral:rRNA from 1 species